UCAGUCGUGUGAAGAGCAAAGUUAUCCCUGUCUGAUGAAUAUUGAGGAUGAAUGUAGUUUCUGACGACUUA
rnacentral:snoRNA from 1 species